AGCAGCCGCGGUAAUUCCAGCUCCAAUAGCGUAUAUUAAAGUUGUUGCAGUUAAAAAGCUCGUAGUUGAAUUUCGGGGUUCUACCGUUGGUCGGGCUAUCCAGUCUGUACUAGCGUGUAGAAUUCCUACCUUCUGGGGAACUAUCAUGUUAUUAAUUUAGCGUGGUGGGAAACCAGGACCUUUACCUUGAAAAAAUUAGAGUGUUCAAAGCAGGCUUACGUCUGAAUACAUUAGCAUGGAAUAAUAGAAUAGGACGGUGGUCCUGUUUUGUUGGUUUCUGAAUCACCGUAAUGAUUAAUAGGGAUAGUUGGGGGCAUUAGUAUUCAAUUGUCAGAGGUGAAAUUCUUGGAUUUAUUGAAGACUAACUUCUGCGAAAGCAUUUGCCAAGGAUGUUUUCAUUAAUCAAGAACGAAAGUUAGGGGAUCGAAGACGAUCAGAUACCGUCGUAGUCUUAACCAUAAACUAUGCCGACUAGGGAUCGGACGAUGUUAAAUUUAUUGACUCGUUCGGCGCCUUACGG
rnacentral:rRNA from 1 species